rnacentral:rRNA from 2 species
UCUCGGCUCUCGCAUCGAUGAAGAACGUAGCGAAAUGCGAUACUUGGUGUGAAUUGCAGAAUCCCGUGAACCAUCGAGUCUUUGAACGCAAGUUGCGCCCGAAGCCGUUAGGCCGAGGGCACGUCUGCCUGGGCGUCACGCAUCGCGUCGCCCCCCGCGC